rnacentral:misc_RNA from 1 species
GAUGAAGAACGCAGCGAAAUGCGAUAAGUAAUGUGAAUUGCAGAAUUCCGUGAAUCAUCGAAUCUUUGAACUCACAUUGCGCCCCCUGGUAUUCCGGGGGGCAUGCCUGUCCGAGCGUCAUUGCAACCCUCAAGCGCGGCUUGUGUGUUGGGCUUCGUCCCCCCGUGGACGUGCCCGAAAGGCAGUGGCGGCGUCCCGAAUGGUGCCCGAGCGUAUGGGAACUCUCUUCCGCUCGAACCGGCCCAUUCGGCGCUGGUCGAACCCCAAUUUUUUUUUACCGGUUGACCUCGGAUCAGGUAGGGAUACCCGCUGAACUUAAGCAUAUCAAUAAGCGGAGGA